UGCAGCGGGGGCUGGCGCCGGGGGCGAUCCGCAGCCCCGGCGGCGCAGCCCGCGCGGGAGGGGCGGGGGCUCCUUCGCGGCCUGUUGUGGGGCCGAGCGCGGGCGGGAGCGAGGAUGUCUGAGUCAGAGCUGCAUCCUCCGAUGAACGAAUGCCAAAACUCCCUCGUCGGCCGCUCUCCCCCACCCCGACCUCCGGCUUCUUCCUCACGACCGUCGAUGCUCUCGGCAUGCAUGUUCUUUGUGAACCUUAGACUGAGCACAUUUUCGCCACAAGCUGCGCGAAAAGCCGGACAGACCCGCCGGAUCUCACACACGCAGAGGAACUUACUGAGGGGCGGGGAAGAGGGGGGCGAGCAAAGAGCGGGAGCUUUGGCCGAGACCCGCUCAGGAGGUUUUGACUGAAUCUCUCAGUAAGACACUCGAGGCUGAGAAUCUUCCCCGAAGCGUUUAGGACUCAUAUAUAAGGCAAGUGGGAGAGAGCUUCUUUCCUUAAAGCAAGUGGGACAGCACAACGCGUUUAGCGGGGAACGAGACGAACAGCGAACGAGCCUCGUUUGCCCUUGAGGGAACGGCGCUCAGGAGCAGGAAUAGCGUGCUUCCAUCCGGACCAGCGGCGCUGGCAAAGCCAGGAGCUCGCUCAGCGUUUCGGGGCAGAUGCAGCUUUUGCCAUUUAUACCAAGCCCUUCUUCCUGCCACCAUAUCUCCUCCCAGGUCCAUGCUCUGCCCGCACACCGCCCUGUCUCCCCUGCCCGACUUCAGCCCCUCCAGCGAUACGGCUGAUUGAGGGAGGGGAGGCGGCGGCUGGGGUUUCAUUCGACGCCCACCAGGGGCUGAGCGAGCCUCCUUCAGUGCGCAAACUCGGGGCACCAGAUAAAAGCUGGGCUGGCAGCUCUUACCCUGCCUCGAUGGAGCCGCAACAUUCGGGUGACUGGAGAAGCAGUUAGCAGCAGCGCCAUAGACUAGCGUCCCCCCACACCUUGAGCACAGAGAGUUUGGGGCUCUAAACAGCUGCUGCUGCGGCAGGAGGGAGCCGAGGGCGCUUGGCUGGGGCUGCUCGCUCGGGUUCUGCCUGUUGUUGCGCGAAAUGGCGGCUGGCGUCUUGCAGGGGCAGCCGCAGCUGGGCAGGGUCGGGAGCUGCCGGGGGAGGCAAAGGGAGAAAACGGGCGCCAUGAUCCCAGCGCCAGGGAGGAACUCCGCGGGCAAGGCGUCCGCGAAGAGCUGGUGGAAAAGGAAAGGAGAACCAGGCCUGGGCUUCUUCCCAAACAGUGCUGGGGCUGUGCGGAGAGGAGCGGGGGAAGAGCGAGAGGGGAGCAACUCGUGUCUGCCUUUGUAACUGCGUCAGUACAAGAUGGCGCAGGGUGUCCCUGGAGAGGGAAGGGAGUUGCACGUCCGCCGGAGGUCAUGUGACCGCGUUGCAUUCCUGUGGGGUUUGGCUGCGGACCAAGCUGGCUUAGGCGGCGGCGGUUGCCCGGGACAGCCCGGGCUUCCCCCCCUCCUCCCGCACCACGCCGUCGGUCCCGCGCUGGUUCCCUUCCCCCAUCAGCCUUGUGCACGAGGGUGUAGCUGCUACCGAGGAAGGUUCUCGCUUCUCUCCUUACUCUCCACCCACCUCCAGGGUGUAGCUGCUCUCGGGGGAAGCUUUCCAUUCCGCCCCCUCUCUGCGCAAGGCUUUACCCACCGCCAGGGAAAGUUCCCCCUGGGCGCCUGCUGGCUCCGCCCGAGCGUGGGAGCCGGGUGCGCUCACGGUGGUGCCCGCCCGGUGCGAGGGCACUCUGCUCCCGGUUAGGCUCCCGGGGUCACGGAGUGGUUCCUACCGAAACAGUCGGUUUAAGCGAUGUUUAAAUGACCUCAUUAAAGCCGCUGAGGAAAACGCA